GAUUUGAUACAUAAACGGGCGGAUGAAAAAACAAUCCCCAAACACAAAAGUCCACAUGAAGGCGGCAGCUAAAAUCCACUCCAGGACAACUUACGGCAACAAACAAACAUGUCAACUUAAAACUAAACGAUUUAUCAGGUUAAAUAAGAAAAUUUAAAUCCAAGUAGUGUCCAAUGAUUGGUAAUUUUCGCUGCUGCACAUAGCCCGCCAAGCGACAAUAUCCACCUCCUACACCCGGUGCACCACGACUUAUCGCUGCUGCUCACGCCCGCCAAACGAUAACGUCCACAGAACCAAAACCCCACGACUUCAUCACCCGACAGGAGGGAACUCUACUCGGUCCACACAACCUUCGGAUACAGAUGUGAUGCAUUCAGCACCAACUUACUCCCAGAUAGAAGCCCAUACAUACUCUCAACCAACACGAAGCUUUAACCGAUGAACGACUCCAGAAAGAUUCACGGAAUAAUAAACGAACGGCAAACAACCAUUGAGACACCACCAUACGAACCAAAUCUGCUAUUUAAACUUUCACAAAAUACUAAAACAAAACUACUUUAACCGCAUCCGCAAUACACUCAAACUCUGAACUUGGACACCAUCCAAACGAACUUCUGAACCAAAGCUAGAGGAGAAGUGAGAAACCUAACCGUGAAAACCAUAAGCGAUGUGGAGAUUGAGUCCAUACGAAAUCCAGAACCGUCCACAUCUUCCAUGGAACCCACCAAAAGAGACGUCAACAGCUAGAGUAUGAAGAGAGGAGUCUAUCUCUGGUGGCGGUGAGAGAAACGGACCACCGAGGAGGGAGAUCAAAGGAAGAAGAGAUCAUGUAGCUUUAGAUCAAAAAGAGUGGCCGCUCUAAGGCUGAGGAGAGAGGUUGAAUUUUGCUUUUUCCACUAUCACGAGUAACUCAGUAUGUCCAAGAACUUUUCCAGAUAUGGUGAAAAUAGCGUCUAUGACCUCUCAAAAC
rnacentral:lncRNA from 1 species